AGCUCCAAUAGCGUAUAUUAAAGUUGUUGCGGUUAAAAAGCUCGUAGUUGGAUUUCUGUUGAGGACGGCCGGUCCAUGUUUUGCAUGAGAAUCGGUUUGGCCUCGGCAUCCUCUUGGGGAACGUUGCUGCGCUUAGUUGCGUGGUGCGGUUUUCAAGACUUUUACUUUGAGGAAAUUAGAGUGUUCACGGCAGGCUAUCGCCCUGAAUACAUUAGCAUGGAAUAAUACUAUAGGACCUCGGUUCUAUUUUGUUGGUUUCUAGGACUGAGGUAAUGAUUAAUAGGGAUAAUUGGGGGCACUCGUAUUAACACGUCAGAGGUGGAAUUCUUGGAUUGUGUUACGACGAACUACUGCGAA
rnacentral:rRNA from 1 species